UACGUCUCCACGCUUCAAACAGAUUUCUGCAGAGCGAUACAAGAAUGAUCAAGCCGUGAUUCAAGCCUGCUGGAAAUCAAUUCAAGGGAUGAAGCGAGCUUUGUAUCCAACAAUCUUGUGUACAGAAACCGAGAGUACUGGAUUGGAAAAUGCGAAGACGGGAAUGUGAGCUCCGGUCUCCUGUACAAGGGGUCCUCUGGAAAGCCCCCUUGCAGUCAGUGUGAUCCGACAUCAGUCGAAAGGAAGUACCCUUGCGAUGUUGAUUGGCCUUUCAUCUGCGAGAAAUCGGCACAUUUGUUCCCGCAUAUUCCUGAAAAUAUCCAGGGUCUCUGUCAAUAGCCAGUGGAGGCGACGUGAACCAAAUGACUAUCCCCAGUCUGCCCUUCACUCUCACUCCUCGAUCCUUCCAGAU